ACGAACGCUGGCGGCAGGCCUAACACAUGCAAGUCGAACGCUCCCUUCGGGGAGAGUGGCAGACGGGUGAGUAACACGUGGGAAUCUUCCUGUUGGUUCGGAAUAGCUCAGGGAAACUUGGGGUAAUACCGGAUAAGCCCGAGAGGGGAAAGAUUUAUCGCCGACAGAUGAGCCCGCGUCUGAUUAGCUUGUUGGUGAGGUAACGGCUCACCAAGGCGACGAUCAGUAGCUGGUCUGAGAGGAUGAUCAGCCACACUGGGACUGAGACACGGCCCAGACUCCUACGGGAGGCAGCAGUGGGGAAUAUUGGACAAUGGGCGCAAGCCUGAUCCAGCCAUGCCGCGUGAGUGACGAAGGUCUUCGGAUUGUAAAGCUCUUUUGGCGGGGACGAUAAUGACGGUACCCGCAGAAUAAGCCCCGGCUAACUUCGUGCCAGCAGCCGCGGUAAU
rnacentral:rRNA from 1 species